UGGGGAAUCUUGCGCAAUGGGCGAAAGCCUGACUCAGCCAUGCCGCGUGAAUGAUGAAGGUCUUAGGAUUGUAAAAUUCUUACACCGGGGACGAUAAUGACGGUACCCGGAGAAGAAGCCCCGGCUAACUUCGUGCCAGCAGCCGCGGUAAUACGAAGGGGGCUAGCGUUGCUCGGAAUUACUGGGCGUAAAGGGAGCGUAGGCGGACAUUUAAGUCAGGGGUGAAAUCCCGGAGCUCAACUUCGGAACUGCCUUUGAUACUGGGUGUCUUGAGUGUGAUAGAGGUAUGUGGAACUCCGAGUGUAGAGGUGAAAUUCGUAGAUAUUCGGAAGAACACCAGUGGCGAAGGCGACAUACUGGAUCAUUACUGACGCUGAGGCUCGAAAGCGUGGGGAGCAAACAGGAUUAGAUACCCUGGUAGUCCACGCCGUAAACGAUGAUUGCUAGUUGUUGGGAAGUUUACUUCUCGGUGACGCAGCUAACGCAUUAAGCAAUCCGCCUGGGGAGUAUGGUCGCAAGAUUA
rnacentral:rRNA from 1 species